rnacentral:rRNA from 1 species
UACGAAGGGUGCAAGCGUUAAUCGGAAUUACUGGACGUAAAGCGUGCGCAGGCGGCUUUGCAAGACAGAUGUGAAAUCCCCGGGCUCAACCUGGGAACUGCAUUUGUGACUGCAAGGCUAGAGUACGGCAGAGGGGGAUGGAAUUCCGCGUGUAGCAGUGAAAUGCGUAGAUAUGCGGAGGAACACCAAUGGCGAAGGCAAUCCCCUGGGCCUGUACUGACGCUCAUGCACGAAAGCGUGGGGAGCAAACAGG